ACCCAGCGUACGCCCAGGUGAACCCAGCGUGAACCCAGCGUAAACCCAGCGUACGCCCAGGGGUAAGGACUUUGCACCAGACAGUAUCAGCUCAGCGUUCAAACCAAGGUCAAGCACAUGUGAUCAACCACAUGACAAGCCCCAAUAAACACUGGACACCGAGGUCUGGGCAAGAUUCUCUGGCUGUCGGUGCUCCACGUGUGUUGCCACACAUCAUCGCUGGGAGAAGAAAAUGCGGUCGGCAUGACUCCGCUGGGAAAAUGUAACCGGAAAUUCUGCACCUGGCGUCCCCUGGACCCUGUCCUAUGCACUUCUUCCCCUCGGCUGAUUUUAAUUUGCUAUAAUAAACUGAGUAAAAUGACUUUGCUGAA